rnacentral:rRNA from 1 species
GACGAACGCUGGCGGCGUGCUUAACACAUGCAAGUCGAACGAUGAAGCCGGAGCUUGCUCUGGUGAAUUAGUGGCGAACGGGUGAGUAACACGUGAGUAACCUGCCCUUGACUCUGGGAUAACUGCUAGAAAUGGUAGCUAAUACCGGAUACGACCCUCGGAGGCAUCUCCAGGGGGUGGAAAGAAUUUCGGUCAAGGAUGGACUCGCGGCCUAUCAGCUAGUUGGUGAGGUAACGGCUCACCAAGGCGACGACGGGUAGCCGGCCUGAGAGGGUGACCGGCCACACUGGGACUGAGACACGGCCCAGCCGCCUACGGGAGGCAGCAGUGGGGAAUAUUGCACAAGGGGCGCAAGCCUGAUGCAGCAACGCCGCGUGAGGGAUGACGGCCUUCGGGUUGUAAACCUCUUUUAGUAGGGAAGAAGCGAAAGUGACGGUACCUGCAGAAAAAGCACCGGCUAACUACGUGCCAGCCGCCGCAGUAA